rnacentral:rRNA from 1 species
UUUGGUUAAGUUAGAAAGGGCGCACGGUGGAUGCCUUGACACUAGGAGUCGAUGAAGGACGGGACUAACGCCGAUAUGCUUCGGGGAGCUGUAAGUAAGCUUUGAUCCGAAGAUUUCCGAAUGGGGAAACCCACUAUACGUAAUGGUAUGGUAUCCUUACCUGAAUACAUAGGGUAUGGAAGACAGACCCAGGGAACUGAAACAUCUAAGUACCUGGAGGAAGAGAAAGCAAAUGCGAUUUCCUGAGUAGCGGCGAGCGAAACGGAACAUAGCCCAAACCAAGAGGCUUGCCUCUUGGGGUUGUAGGACAUUCUAUACGGAGUUACAAAGGAACGAGGUAGACGAAGAGACCUGGAAAGGUCCGUCGUAGAGGGUAACAACCCCGUAGUCGAAACUUCGUUCUCUCUUGAAUGUAUCCUGAGUACGGCGGAACACGUGAAAUUCCGUCGGAAUCUGGGAGGACCAUCUCCCAAGGCUAAAUACUCCCUAGUGAUCGAUAGUGAACCAGUACCGUGAGGGAAAGGUGAAAAGCACCCCGGAAGGGGAGUGAAAGAGAUCCUGAAACCGUGUGCCUACAAAUAGUCAGAGCCCGUUAAUGGGUGAUGGCGUGCCUUUUGUAGAAUGAACCGGCGAGUUACGAUCCCGUGCGAGGUUAAGCUGAAGAGGCGGAGCCGCAGCGAAAGCGAGUCUGAAUAGGGCGUUUAGUACGUGGUCGUAGACCCGAAACCAGGUGAUCUACCCAUGUCCAGGGUGAAGUUCAGGUAACGCUGAAUGGAGGCCCGAACCCACGCACGUUGAAAAGUGCGGGGAUGAGGUGUGGGUAGCGGAGAAAUUCCAAUCGAACCUGGAGAUAGCUGGUUCUCCCCGAAAUAGCUUUAGGGCUAGCCUUAAGUGUAAGAGUCUUGGAGGUAGAGCACUGAUUGAA